rnacentral:rRNA from 1 species
UUUAUUGGAGAGUUUGAUCCUGGCUCAGGAUGAACGCUGGCGGCGUGCCUAAUACAUGCAAGUCGAGCGAAUGGAUUAAGAGCUUGCUCUUAUGAAGUUAGCGGCGGACGGGUGAGUAACACGUGGGUAACCUGCCCAUAAGACUGGGAUAACUCCGGGAAACCGGGGCUAAUACCGGAUAACAUUUUGAACUGCAUGGUUCGAAAUUGAAAGGCGGCUUCGGCUGUCACUUAUGGAUGGACCCGCGUCGCAUUAGCUAGUUGGUGAGGUAACGGCUCACCAAGGCAACGAUGCGUAGCCGACCUGAGAGGGUGAUCGGCCACACUGGGACUGAGACACGGCCCAGACUCCUACGGGAGGCAGCAGUAGGGAAUCUUCCGCAAUGGACGAAAGUCUGACGGAGCAACGCCGCGUGAGUGAUGAAGGCUUUCGGGUCGUAAAACUCUGUUGUUAGGGAAGAACAAGUGCUAGUUGAAUAAGCUGGCACCUUGAC